rnacentral:lncRNA from 1 species
UUAAAGGGAAAAUUCGCAAAAAAAUAAAAAUUUGAUAUUAUGUUCAUCCUAAAUAAAUAAACAUAUUCUCAAAAUAUUAAAGCUUUAUUUGUCUAGAUAAGUGAGUUAUUAGAUUUUUAAAAUCGACUCUAGAUUCUCGGCAAGACGCCAUCUUGAAAACUAAUGACCACGGAUAUCUAAUUACCACAAAGUCCUAGUACACGGCAUGACAUGUCCGUUAAUCAGUGUUAAUAUGACUUGUCAAGCUGAUGGAUUUUCUACCCGACCAAGUAAUGUAAGCUGAAGAAGUCUACAUAGUUUUCAAGAUCAUCAAAUCAAGUAAUGCUUCACUAAGAUUGAUAAGAAUAAUUUAAAAAAUACUUUAAAAAAUAUCUUAAUUUUUUAAGAGGGUUUUAAAAUAUUCAACGUACAAUGCUGAGGUCAGGUUAAAAAGCUGUAAAUGACAUAAUAUCGUACAAUGGUUUUAGCUGGUCAAUAAAUUUACAUUUUUGGCACCCACAUACAGUAUCAAGUAUUGUAUGAAUUAUGCUAUAAUAAUGUUAAAGUAGUCUCAAUAAAAGUGAAAAAAAAGUCCGGCGAUACUUAUUAUAAACUGAGAUUUAUCUCCUAUGUAAAAGUUUUUUUAAAUGCUUUUUUUUCUAACGUAUAUUUUUAGUUUAUUUUGGGUUUUUACCUAACUUGACCCACGUUCAAAAACUUGUCUUCUUGUAAUCAGCAUGGUAAUUUAUCUUAAUUCAGGUAAUUACCGGGGUAUUGUAAAUGUGACAUAUUCGGGUAUUCUAACGGUCGACUUCCUGGCAGGCUUGUUUAAUUUAAUACACAAUGAACAAGGUCAAUGAAUCACUUGCGUGAUCGCGAGUGAACCAGGUGUGCACAGGUAAAAUUUAUAAAAUAUACCAUAGCAAUAUAAAAUUCCGUGAUAUACGGCCUGUGUACAAAAUCUAACAUUUUUUUAAAGAGUGAUUGUUAGAAUACGUAUAGAUUAUCCCAAUGUUAUCUAAUUUCAAUCUUACUUUUAUUUAUAUUUCAGCACCUAUUCUUCCGUUUUUAUAUAUAAUUUUUGGUCCCGUUAUUUUAUAUAAGUAAUUCGUCUAGUUUUUAUCCUCACAUAUGUGACUUCAUUUUCACUCUAGAAAACAGUGGUAUAUUUUGAAAUGAAUGCCCUUUUAUUUUAAUAACUGUUCAUUCAUUUUACAUGUGAAAUAAGAAUAUCAAUGUGUAAACUUCGGACUAUACAAAUGCAGAAUAUACUGUGCAGGUUUGCUUUCGUCUAACGAGAUAAGAGAACUGAAAAAAAACUGUCAUAUAAAAACAAACACGUUCAAAUCAAAAUAUAAAAAUAUGUGAGUAAAGUUAACUUGAACAGCAAAAUUAACAACCUUUGAUCUCGAGUGUAUUGGUAAUAAAUGUAUGUAUUUUUAUAGUAUAGCUCCUUCCAUAAUCCAAUGAUAUCAGAUAAUUAUUUUUCAUAAGAUUAACCCUUCCGACCUCACUUAAAUCUGAGACUGUGUUAUAGUAGUCUCAGCUAAAAUCUAAUGCCAAACGCUAGAAGUAAAAAUGUAAUACAGGUACACCUUUCUUUGAUCAUGGCUUUCAAAUGUCUAAAUUUAAGUGUUCCCGUACAUUUUUUGCCUUUAUAAGACAAUUAAAAUGCUUUUGUAAAACUAGUUCUAUUUUCCCUUUUUAAAAAACAUAAAUAAAUCAUAAGAGUGUAUAUAAUUUUAUUCCGAAAACUAAAUUUAAUUUCCAUACUUUAACCGGUUCAUUUUUUUUUUAGUUUAGUUACUUAUUUGAAUUCAAAUCAAAUAAUAGCAUCAAAUAUAAUUAAAUAAUUCCACGGCGAUUCACUUGUAUUUGUCAACACCUUGAAAAUGUAUUUUAAAUUUGUGUAUUAAACGCGACCUCCAGUCUUAUAAUCCACUGAUCCGAAUAGACAGUCGCACCUGGCACGGAGUGCCCUAGAGGCCAAGCUAAUUACCAAUCUGCAAAUAACCUUUUACCUUCACAAGUAUUGUCGGAGAAUAAUACACACAUCGCAUCAACCUAGAUAAUAACGUAGAUAGUAAAAGGUCAAUAAGCGUAACCUAUAUAUUGUCUUAACAGUUUAAAGUUAUAUACUUCAAUUUAUUCACUUUAUGAGUAUGAAAAAGCAUAUAUUAAAGCAAAAUAAUAAUAAUAAAAAUUUCUUGUGCUGUCUACAAAAAUAAAUCGAAAUAUUCAGGGAAAUAUAGAAAAAUUAUCUCAUGAACGUGUACAACUGCACGUCUGUGCGUUUUAUUUUCUUAUUAUCGGAUGGUUAUUAGAUAUAGCAUAAGUCAUCGGCGCGCUUACGAUUACGUUAAAAUAUAGUUAAACACCAAGACUUUUAAUGAUUGUAUUUUAAAUCCCGGCAUGCAAAAACCAGGAGAAAACGUCACGACCUACAGGAAGAAGUUAAUAUUUUUUCAUUAAUUAUUGAAUUUCUCCUUUAUUACUGCACAUAUAGCGAUAAAACUUUGUGAAUAUAUAUAUUAUGUCAUAAUGAACAUAUUUAAACCAUAAGUAAAAAAUCGUGAAUUUUCCCUUUAAU